GCGAGACAGAAUCAACUCACCUUUUCCGGUGUUUGAAAACUUCUGAGAACUUUUGAAUUAAGGAGCAGGUGACGUCAUCACCAGCUCGUGGAUCCAUUACUGAGACGAAGAUGAAAUCUCUGGAAGCAGCGUUUCUGUUGCUCAAGGGCACUUCGGUGGGACCAUGUGUCUGGGAUCGAACCUGUGACGGGACGAGGCCACGCUGGACGUCCUGUGUUGACGAGUUUCGUCCUGGAGCGAGUCACAGGUCAGAGACUCAGACUCUUCAGCUCGUUGACUCAG